UUAAGCGGAGGAAAAGAAAUCAACAGAGAUUGCCUCAGUAACCGGCGAGUGAACCGGCAUGAGCUCAAAUUUGAAAUCGGGCGUCCAUUGGCUUCCGAGUUGUAUUUUGGAGAGGGUGCUUUGUGGCACAGCGGGCAGACUGCAAGUUCUUUGGAACAAGACACCACAGAGGGUGAGAGUCCCGUACCGGUCUGUUGUCUGUGUGCGUAUAUAGCCCCUUCAACGAGUCGAGUUGCUUGGGAAUGCAGCUUCAAUUGGGAGGUAAAUUUCUUCUAAAGCUAAAUAUCAGCCAGAGACCGAUAGCGCACAAGUAGAAUGAUCGAAAGAUGAAAAGCACUUUGGAAAGAAAGUCAAACAGUACGUGAAAUUGCCAAAAGGGAAGCACAUGUGACUAGAAUCGCAGGCGUUGCUUUAGUGGUAUUUGUUAAUGCCGCUGUCAACAGCGUCGGUGGGCCAGCGUCAGCUGUGAUGGCACAAUUAAGGCCGGGCCAAUGUAGCUUAGCUUUCGGGGUAAGCGUUAUAGGGCCCGGCGCCAGUGUGCCGUACUCGGCUGAGGAACGCAUCUAUAUGGAUGCUGGCGUAAUGGUCACCUGUGGCCCGUCUUG
rnacentral:rRNA from 1 species